rnacentral:rRNA from 1 species
ACUCCAGUUGAUCCUGCUGGAGGGUACUGCUAUCAGAUUUCGAUUAAGCCAUGCAAGUUAGCUCUCUCACUUGGGAGGGCAGCAAACGGCUGAGUAACACGUAGUCAAUCUACCCUGAGGACGUGGAUAACCUCGCGAAAGUGAGGCUAACACGCGAUAGGUUAUGGAUGUUGGAAUUACUUCAUAACCCAAAAGGCUGGUGAAUUGGAGCCAGACCGCCUUAGGAUGGGACUGCGGCGGAUUAUGGUAGUUGGUGAGGUCACGGCUCACCAAGCCGAUAAUCUGUAGGGGCCAUGGGAGUGGUGGCCCCCAGAAGGGUACUGAGAUAAGGACCCUAGUCCUACGGGAUGCAGCAGGCGCGAAACCUUCACAAUGCACGUAAGUGUGAUGAGGGAAAUCUGAGUGGUAACAGCUUAGCUGUUAUCUUUUGCGGAGUGUAAAUAGCUCCGAGAAUAAGGGUGUGGGCAAGACUGGUGGCAGCCGCCGCGGUAAAACCAGCGCCUCGAGUGGUACCCACGAAUAUUGGGUCUAAAGCGUCCGUAGCCGGUCAGUUAAGUCCGCUGUGAAAUGUUGGGGCUUAACCCUAACGCGUGCAGCGGAUACUGGCAGACUUGGGAGCGGGGGAGGACAGGAGUACUUCCAGGGUAGCGGUAAAAUAAUCUUCAGUUCUGAUUUGUUCAGUUCUGGAUAUUUUACAAUGCGUUGAGCCUGGAAGGACUACCAGUGGCGAAGGCGCCUGUCCAAAACGCAUCCGACGGUGAGGAACGAAAGCUGGGGGAGCGAACGGGAUUAGAUACCCCGGUAGUCCCAGCUGUAAAUGAUGCUGACUGUGGUGUUACACCGGAGUAAUCCGGUGUAGUGCUGUAGCGUAGGUGUUAAGUCAGCCACCUGGGGAGUACGACCGCAAGGUUGAAACUUAAAGGAAUUGGCGGGGGAGCACCACAAGGGGUGGAUGCUACGGUUUAAUUGGAUACAACGCCAGGAACAUCACCAAAGGCGACGGCAGGAUGAAGGUCAGACUAAAGAUCUUGCCUAACGAGCCGAGAGGUAUUGCAUGGCCAUCGUCAGCUCGUGGUGUGAAUUGUCCUGUUAAGUCAGGCAACGAGCGAGACCCAUGUGAUUAGUUGCUAACUAUUCCUCCGGGGAUGGUGCACUCUAAUCAGACUGCCCGUGCUAAAUGGGAGGAAGGAGUGGGCGACGGUAGGUCAGUAUGGUCCGAAACCUUUGGGCUACACGCGGCAUACAUUGGAUAGAACAAUGGGCUGCGACUUCGAAAGAAGGAGCUAAUCCCCUAAAUCUAUCCGUGGUCCGGAUCGAGGGCUGCAACUCGCCCUCGUGAAGAUGGAAUCCCUAGUAAUCGCGUGUCAUCAUCACGCGGUGAAUAUGUCCCCGCUCCUUGCACACACCGCCCGUCAAGUCACCCAAAUGUUCUUACGGUGAGACCUAGGUUCUUGCCUAGUUCGAACCGAAAGGACGUGAGGGGGGCUAAGUCGUAACAAGGUAUCCGUAGGGGAACCUGCGGAUAGAUCACCUCCA